GGAAGCUCUAUAGAUAGGGCCAGGAACAGAAGGCAGAAGUUGACAUUAAAAUGCAUUGACUAUUAGUCCAGAAAAGUAACACCCUCAUCCUAAGCAAGGGGAGGGCAUGCAGACAGUGUGAGUGCUGCACCACCCUAGGGAGCAGCCUGCGUGCAUUCAAAAGGCCGACGAGGGAGUGCUGGCUGCUGCUUUGGAGGAGCUGCAGUUUUUGCCUUCAGCUUGUAACUGACUACCGGAGACCUUGGAGACACCAAGACCAGGCUAAGUAGAUGACGGAAGGUUCCAUCAAUUCUUACUAAAGCGGGAGAGGCUGUGGGACCACUCAAGAGAUUCAGAAAGCAAGAUCAUUAGGCGUCAGAGAUCAACAGAUUCCUUCUGCGAGUCAAGGAAGUCCAAAAUGAUGAGGCCUAGCAGCAUGGACCAAGCCUCUAUAACCAUGAGUGAAAAUGAAUCGUUUCCACUUUGAAGCUGUUUGGCUCACAGAUUUUAUCAGUGGUGGAAAGCUAACAGAGUGAGCGACUCCCGAGAUCCAGCCAUGGUGGGACUCAGGCAGCUUACUCACCAGCCCUCUUGGUAAGAGCCUGCAGCGUGGGCCAGGAGGAGAACCAGAACUCCCGAGAUCUGGCCACAGUGGGACUCAGGCAGCUUCUUCACCUGCCCUCUUGGGUCUCAUUACGCAGUUCAAGCUGUGCCUAGAACUCACAGGGCUCCUCCUGCCGCGUCUCCUGAGUGCUGGGAUUACCUGUGUGUGGUACCACACCCAGUUCUUCCUUUUUAGAUUCAAGAACUCAUCCCAUUCAUGGAAAGUGUUGAGAACUCAAGAGUACAGUUAUAGAUUAAAAUCUGGCAGUCAAGUUAACACCAGCAGAAUUAAAUCACCAUGAUGCUGAGCGUAGAUUUUCUACCUGAGGAAAGUUGGCAGCAUAGAGACAUGGAGAAGCGAGGUAUUGAGGCGUUGUGGGCUUUCCUGUGUUGCUGUUUGAGCUGUUAGUUCUCCUGGAGAAGCUCUGGUCCUUACAUCAAGCAUUGCUUCCUGGUUCCGGAGGGGAAGAUGUGUGCCGCAUGGUCUCCAGGAUGAACUCGUCACUCUGGCUUUUUGGCAUGCACUCACUCAGCUGUGUUUAUCUUCGGAGGAGCUCAGGGCCAUGUCGCUGAGGAUGGCUGUUUUGCUUUUCAGAACAGCCCUGAUCUUUGUUGUGUGACUUCUCGGGUCCAGCGCAGAACCCUCAACCUACCAGCUCCUUCAUGCUGCUGGCAUAGACUUUCUAGCUUCCACUGCUGACCUCUCGGCCUUCCUAGCACAGAUCCAUAAAAGAGACUGGCAUGAGUCCUUCUUGUGGGCUCUAGACCUCCAGUUGGACUCAUGGGAAGCAUUGUCAUGAGCUCUGGGUCUUCAACUGGACUCAUAAAGGACACUGCUAUGGGAUUCAGGCCCUUGGUUAAAUAUUUUAUGUCUCUGGUGCUGUGGAAAGAUUUGCUGUACUUUCUUGUGUUAACUCUGGGUAACCAUCAUAAAAUAUUAUAAACUCCA